rnacentral:rRNA from 1 species
AACGAACGCUGGCGGCAGGCUUAACACAUGCAAGUCGAACGCCCCGCAAGGGGAGUGGCAGACGGGUGAGUAACGCGUGGGAACGUACCCUUUUCUACGGAAUAACGCAUGGAAACGUGUGCUAAUACCGUAUGUGCCCUUCGGGGGAAAGAUUUAUCGGAAAAGGAUCGGCCCGCGUUGGAUUAGCUAGUUGGUGGGGUAAAGGCCUACCAAGGCGACGAUCCAUAGCUGGUCUGAGAGGAUGAUCAGCCACAUUGGGACUGAGACACGGCCCAAACUCCUACGGGAGGCAGCAGUGGGGAAUAUUGGACAAUGGGCGCAAGCCUGAUCCAGCCAUGCCGCGUGAGUGAUGAAGGCCCUAGGGUUGUAAAGCUCUUUCACCGGAGAAGAUAAUGACG